CCCUUAGCUCAGUUGGAUAGAGCAACGGCCUUCUAAGCCGUGGGUCGCAGGUUCGAAUCCUGCAGGG
rnacentral:tRNA from 1 species